ACGAGUGGUGCAAACGUUAUUCGGAAUUACUGGGCUUAAAGGGUGCGUAGGCUGCUAUGAAGGUCUGAUGUGAAAUACCACGGCUCAACCGUGGAACUGCGUUGGAAACCACAUAGCUGGAGUGAGACAGAGGUAAGCGGAACAGAUGGUGGAGCGGUGAAAUGCGUUGAUAUCAUCUGGAACACCGGUGGCGAAAGCGGCUUACUGGGUCUUUACUGACGCUGAUGCACGAAAGCUAGGGGAGCAAACGGGAUUAGAUACCCCGGUAGUCCUAGCUGUAAACGAUGAGUACUAGUCCGUGGGGACCCCCACAUCCUCUCGGACGUAGCGAAAGUGUUAAGUACUCCGCCUGGGGAGUAUGGUCGCAAGGCUG
rnacentral:rRNA from 1 species